UCCAGCAGCUGCUGGCCGAGCGGCGACAGCGCGGACAGGAACACGGGGCUGCCCGCCGCCGCCAGCCCGUUGGCCAGAGGCCGCCGCCGCUCGAAGUACAGCCCCAGCAUGAUGAGCGACGGCUGGAAGUUGAGGGCCAGGCCCAGGCCUGCGGGCGAGGCAGCGCUGUGCCGGGGUCCCCAGGGAACCCCUCCCUGGCCCCCGCAGGAGGGAGGGGCCAGGCCCGGGAACCCAGCAGAUCCAAGAACCCAGCCGAAGGACUUCGAAGACUGUCCCACAUAGGGAAACCGAGGGCAGAUCUUGCAGCAAGAAUCCCCGACCCCCAAACCAGAGGGGAGGAGAACAGGGGGCCCUCACCUGUGAGCACCCCAGCGGUCAGGUAGAGCUCCAGGAGGCGCGUGGCAAAGGAAGCUAGGAUCAUGCCUGCGGAAGCCAGCAGCCCACCCGCCAGCAUCACCGGGCGACAGCCAAAGCGGGUCACGAGGAUGCUGGACACGGGGCCUGUGGGCAGGGCAGGGUCACCACACGGGUCCCGGGAUGGCUUGAGUCCUCUAAGGAAUAAGGUCACCUCCGGCUCAGGGACCCAGAGAGGUGGGCAUUGUCUGGCCAAGGUCACACAGCUUGGAGGGCACAGGCCAAAGAGACAGCACCCUGCGAGGGCAAGGCCCAGAGCACCCUAUCCCUACGCCUCCUGAGAACCCAAACCCCAAGCAGAGGGGGGACUUCCACACCCCUUUAACCUUCACAGCCUCCAAGUCCCGCCCUGGCACAGCCUGGGAUUCCUCCGCAGCCCCGCCUCCCAGGAUGGGAACUCCAGCAAGCCCCCCGCCUAACAGGGCGCUGAAGGAUGAGGGUAGGACGAGGGGUCCCACCUGACUCUGCACCUCAGCAGGCUCCCUCUGGAGGACACUGCUGGCCCCUCAGGACCUCAGGUGGAAGACAUCGGGAAGUGGAGUAGGUGUGUGCCUGGAGAGAUGGGGUCCCACGGUGUUGCCCAAGCUGGUGUUGAACUGUUGGAGUCAAGAGAUCCUCCCCUCCUAGUCUCCCUAGUAGCUGGGAUUACAAGUGUGUGCUGCCACACCUGCCACCCCCGUCACUGUUCGGGCCCCGUUUGAGGACUCACCUUGGGAAGAGUUCCUGUGGCGGGUACUGCUCUGAGGACAUCAGUUUCUGCAGUGGGGGUGGGGAAGGGCUGGUUUGGUGGGGAGAGGGGCAAGCAAUCCCUUGCCCCUCCCCUCCCUCUCCCCAUGCCCAUAGGGCAGAGGACUGGGCCAGAGAGCCCCUGCCAUGCAAGGCUCCUGGGAAAUGAGACCCUGAGGUUCUGAAGCCCAGCAUUCUGUGGGUUGCAGAAGUGAGAAAUCCCUGGGCCAGAGCACCACCUCUGAGGACUAACCACGCCCCCAUAAUAACACUGGGGUGGCUCCAUGGGUAGACGAUCUCCCUGGCCUCCCGCAGCCCCGUCCUGCUGGCCAGCCCCAGGUCACAUUCUGCUCCAGGACCCUGGUCUUCCCCUUCAGCCCAGACUCAGCCCCAUACCACCCCUCCAUGCACUGAGGAACAGACUGAGGCCAGGUGGGUGGGUCCCCUACCAGACAGCCAGUGACAGAGCCUCGGGAUCCCUGCUCUCCCGCCUCCCUGCCCACUGGAGGCCCCAGGAGAGGGCGGGCGAGGGCUCACCUUGACGUCAGUGGCAGUCCCUGUGCUGCCCAUGCUGCCUCGGCGGCUGCUGGGC